ACAGCGAUUAGGAAGGACACCACUUUUUCUCCGAAAUACAUUGUAUACAAGGCAGCUGAUGUGAACUGCAUUGGAAUCUCUCCUACAGAUAGGCCUUGUGAAGACCUC
rnacentral:ribozyme from 1 species